ACUGCUGGACUGGAGAGGGGGUUUUGUUAGCGUUUAUACAGAAUAUUGUUUUGAUGAAAUCAUGUUUGAAGCCACAUGAAAUCAUAGACCAGCAACAUCUGGAGGGGUUUUUUGUAUUUUGUAUUGUACAUCUGUAUUUCUUCCUGCGCGAAAUGCCUCCUGUUCAGUGCGCAAGGCUGUGACUUUCUGUGGGUGAGGCUGCAAAGUUUGUAGGCAUAGCUCCAAACCAGAGCGGCUAUUUCAGAGGAAUGAAGUUUCAGCGCCACCGCCCAGAUUGAACACCCGCUGAUGUCCUCAGUGUCCCGCUGGUCUGCUGUCUCUCACCAGGCUUAGGCAGCGUCGGACAAACACGGCAGCAGCCAGGAGAAGAACUGCAGCAUUACAAGUGCACAUCAGACUGGAUUUUCUGUAUAUUACAGAGGCAGAUUUGUUUAUACUGUAUAAAGAUACAGAAGAGUUUAUAUUGUGGGUUUCCAUUAUUGUCAUUAAACAUUUAUAUAAAUAAACUUGAUGAUACUACAGAAUUUUUUAGAC